GAUGAACGCUGGCGGCGUGCCUAAUACAUGCAAGUCGAGCGAACGGACGAGAAGCUUGCUUCUCUGAUGCUAGCGGCGGACGGGUGAGUAACACGUGGAUAACCUACCUAUAAGACUGGGAUAACUUCGGGAAACCGGAGCUAAUACCGGAUAAUAUUUUGAACCGCAGGGUUCAAAAGUGAAAGACGGUCUUGCUGUCACUUAUAGAUGGAUCCGCGCUGCAUUAGCUAGUUGGUAAGGUAACGGCUUACCAAGGCAACGAUGCAUAGCCGACCUGAGAGGGUGUUCGGCCACACUGGAACUGAGACACGGUCCAGACUCCUACGGGAGGCAGCAGUAGGGAAUCUUCCGCAAUGGGCGAAAGCCUGACGGAGCAACGCCGCGUGAGUGAUGAAGGUCUUCGGAUCGUAAAACUCUGUUAUUAGGGAAGAACAUAUGUGUAAGUAACUGUGCACAUCUUGACGGUACCUAAUCAGAAAGCCACGGCUAACUACGUG
rnacentral:rRNA from 1 species